UACGGAGGGAGCUAGCGUUAUUCGGAAUUACUGGGCGUAAAGCGCACGUAGGCGGCUUUGUAAGUCAGAGGUGAAAGCCUGGAGCUCAACUCCAGAACUGCCUUUGAUACUGGCGAGCUUGAGUUCGGGAGAGGUGAGUGGAACUGCGAGUGUAGAGGUGAAAUUCGUAGAUAUUCGCAAGAACACCAGUGGCGAAGGCGGCUCACUGGCCCGAUACUGACGCUGAGGUGCGAAAGCGUGGGGAGCAAACAGG
rnacentral:rRNA from 1 species